GCCUAACACAUGCAAGUCGAACGGGACUUAGUGGAAAGCGGCUUCGGCCAAUGGAAGCUAAGUUUAGUGGCGAACGGGUGAGUAACGCGUGAGGAACCUGCCUUCCAGUGGGGGACAACAGUUGGAAACGACUGCUAAUACCGCAUAACAUAAUCGAACCGCAUGAUUUGAUUAUCAAAGCUUUAUGUGCUGGAAGAUGGCCUCGCGUCUGAUUAGCUAGUUGGUGGGGUAACGGCCUACCAAGGCGACGAUCAGUAGCCGGUCUGAGAGGAUGAACGGCCACAUUGGGACUGAGAUACGGCCCAGACUCCUACGGGAGGCAGCAGUGGGGAAUAUUGGGCAAUGGGGGAAACCCUGACCCAGCAACGCCGCGUGAAGGAAGAAGGCCUUCGGGUUGUAAACUUCUUUUACCAGGGACGAAGAACGUGACGGUACCUGGAGAAAAAGCAACGGCUAACUACGUGCAGCAGCCGCGGUAACAC
rnacentral:rRNA from 1 species